UACGGAGGGUGCAAGCGUUAUCCGGAUUCACUGGGUUUAAAGGGUGCGUAGGUGGCGUGGUAAGUCGGAUGUGAAAUCCCGGGGCUCAACCCCGGAACUGCAUUCGAUACUGCCAUGCUAGAGUACUGGAGAGGAGAUUGGAAUUUACGGUGUAGCAGUGAAAUGCGUAGAUAUCGUAAGGAAGACCAGUGGCGAAGGCGGAUCUC
rnacentral:rRNA from 1 species